UACGUAGGGUGCGAGCGUUGUCCGGAAUUAUUGGGUUUAAAGGGUGCGUAGGUGGUCAAUUAAGUCAGUGCUGAAAUAUCCCGGCUUAACCGGGAGGGUGGCAUUGAUACUGAUUGACUUGAGUGGAGUUGAGGUAGGCGGAAUUGACGGUGUAGCGGUGAAAUGCUUAGAUAUCGUCAAGAACACCAAUAGCGAAGGCAGCUUACUAAGCUCUAACUGACACUGAUGCACGAAAGUGUGGGGAUCAAACAGG
rnacentral:rRNA from 1 species